rnacentral:rRNA from 1 species
GAUGAACGCUGGCGGCGUGCCUAAUACAUGCAAGUCGAACGCUGGAGCUCUAUUUUGCUAGUUCGCAGGAGUGGCGCACGUGUGUGUAAUACAUAAGCAACCUACCCACGAAUACUGUGAUAUUCUCUGAAUACGGGGACUACUACCGGGUAGGUCCUCGUAAGUCGUCUUCUGUUUAUUAUAUGUUAAAAACACUGGUGGCUGGGCUUAUGGCGCAUUAGUUAGUUGGUGAGGUAUCGCCCCACCAGGACGAUGAUGCGUAGCCGGCCUGAGAGAGUGAACGGCAACAUGGGGACGGAGACACGGCCAAGACUACUACGGGAGGCAGCAGUAGGGAAGUAGCGGCAAUGGGGGCAACACUGACCGAGCAACGCCGAGUGAGUGAAGACGGGCGUCGGGUUGUAAAGCUCUGGUGUAAGGGAAGAACGGUAGAUAGAGAAGAUCUAAGUGACGGUACCUGACAAGAAAGCAACGGCUAACUACGUG